rnacentral:rRNA from 1 species
UACGUAGGGUGCGAGCGUUGUCCGGAAUUAUUGGGCGUAAAGAGCUCGUAGGCGGUGUGUCACGUCGGCUGUGAAAACCCGGGGCUCAACCCCGGGCCUGCAGUCGAUACGGGCAGACUAGAGUGCGGUAGGGGAGAUCGGAAUUCCUGGUGUAGCGGUGAAAUGCGCAGAUAUCAGGAGGAACACCGGUGGCGAAGGCGGUUCUCGUGGGCAUGUCCUGACGCUGAGGAGCGAAAGUGUGGGGAGCGAACAGG